UUCAAUGUGAAAUGAAGGAUCAGGAGCUAGCAGUGUACCUGAGAAACCCUGGGAUGGACAGAUGCUGGAGUGAUAAUACACAGACUUCUCAUGAAAAUCAACCAACAUAUAGAAGAAUAUAUAGAAUAAAGCAAAAAUCAUCAGAAACUCCACAGUCUUGGAUGACCAUAGUUGAUAUUCUGAAUGGCUUCUGUUCCGAUUGAACCUUGACUGAUGUAGCACCUAUCACCAAAUUGCUGUUCAGGAAAUAUGUCCUAAAGAAACUCCCAACAACAGCAAUACAUCAGAGUGGCACCUCUUUACACUGGUUCUUGGUAGGUACUGUCAAUAUUUUUCAACUUUGGCAAAGUAAUACUCAAAACAAAAAAAAAUUAGUAGUGGUUUAUAUUUGCAUUUCUUGAGUUCAAAA
rnacentral:lncRNA from 1 species